rnacentral:rRNA from 1 species
AGGACGAACGCUGGCGGCGUGCUUAACACAUGCAAGUCGAACGGGGUCUAUUAGCUUGCUAAGACGACCUAGUGGCAAACGGGUGAGUAACGCGUGGGCAACCUGCCGGAAAGAUGGGGACAACAUCCCGAAAGGGGUGCUAAUACCGAAUGUUGUACGAGGGACGCAUGUUCCAUGUACUAAAGGAUCCUAUCCGCUUUCCGAUGGGCCCGCGUCCGAUUAGCUGGUUGGUGAGAUAACGGCCCACCAAGGCGACGAUCGGUAGCCGGCCUGAGAGGGUGAACGGCCACAUUGGGACUGAGACACGGCCCAGACUCCCACGGGAGGCAGCAGUGGGGAAUCUUCCGCAAUGGGCGAAAGCCUGACGGAGCAACGCCCGCGUGAGUGAAGGAGGCCUUCGGGCCGUAAAGCUCUGUUGCCGGGGAAGAGUGCUAUGGGGGAACCUGUAGAGGGACGGUACCCGGCGAGGAAGCCGCGGCUAACUACGUGCCAGCCGCCGC